rnacentral:lncRNA from 1 species
UCAUAAAAUCAUAUACGCUUUGUAACAUAACACAUGUUAUACUUUGCACUUUAAUAAUCAGACAACAAAUUUCCUCUUUUACCAGCUUACUAGUAUCCAUGAGAAUCUAUAGGGGGUCCCUGCUACACGUGAAUCAUUAACAUUAAUAACCUAAUUCCAGGGCCGUCCCCAUACCUCAUCCGGUAUGGGCGCCAAAAUCAUAAACCUCAAUACCCCGUCCGGUAUGAGGGUGAAAUGGGUCGUCCCCAUACCUCGUUCGGUAUGGGUGCCAAAACACAUAAGGUUUCCAUACCCUGUCCGAUAUGAGAGACCACGUUCCCAGUAAGGUUCCCUACAGACCCGGUCCGUCCACCAUCUCUCAGGAUAUCUAGUCAGGCUGUCCA